GAAAAUGAUGUUGCUUCCAAAUU
rnacentral:siRNA from 1 species